UAGGGAAUCUUCGGCAAUGGACGAAAGUCUGACCGAGCAACGCCGCGCGAGUGAAGAAGGUUUUCGGAUCGUAAAACUCUGUUGUUAGAGAAGAACAAGGACGUUAGUAACUGAACGUCCCCUGACGGUAUCUAACCAGAAAGCCACGGCUAACUACGUGCCAGCAGCCGCGGUAAUACGUAGGUGGCAAGCGUUGUCCGGAUUUAUUGGGCGUAAAGCGAGCGCAGGCGGUUUCUUAAGUCUGAUGUGAAAGCCCCCGGCUCAACCGGGGAGGGUCAUUGGAAACUGGGAGACUUGAGUGCAGAAGAGGAGAGUGGAAUUCCAUGUGUAGCGGUGAAAUGCGUAGAUAGAUGGAGGAACACCAGUGGCGAAGGCGGCUCUCUGGUCUGUAACUGACGCUGAGGCUCGAAAGCGUGGGGAGCAAACAGG
rnacentral:rRNA from 1 species